GAUAGCCGAAGAUCACACCCGGGUCGAGGGUCGGGUUGGUGAUCAGACGGACAUCACCACCGCCUGGUGCCCAGGUGUCGUAAACGCCACCGAAGAACAUGGCCUUGAAGACCAGCAGCAGGCAGCCGACGCCGAGAAGAAUCAGGUGAUAACCAAUGAUGUUGGUCAUCUGAUUCUUGUCCCGCCA
rfam:Synechococcus sp. KORDI-100, complete genome.